UUUUAUUGAGAGUUUGAUCCUGGCUCAGGACGAACGCUGGCGGCGUGCCUAACACAUGCAAGUCGAGCGAUGAAGCUUCUUCGGAAGUGGAUUAGCGGCGGACGGGUGAGUAACACGUGGGCAACCUGCCUCAUAGAGAGGGAUAGCCUUUCGAAAGGAAGAUUAAUACCUCAUAAGAUUGUAGUUUCGCAUGAAACGGCAAUAAAAGGAGCAAUCCGCUAUGAGAUGGGCCCGCGUCGCAUUAGCUAGUUGGUAAGGUAAUGGCUUACCAAGGCGACGAUGCGUAGCCGACCUGAGAGGGUGAUCGGCCACAUUGGGACUGAGACACGGCCCAGACUC
rnacentral:rRNA from 1 species